AGCGAACGCUGGCGGCAGGCCUAACACAUGCAAGUCGAACGAACUCUUCGGAGUUAGUGGCGGCCGGGUGAGUAACACGUGGGAACGUGCCUUUAGGUUCGGAAUAACUCAGGGAAACGUGUGCUAAUACCGAAUGUGCCCUUCGGGGGAAAGAUUUAUCGCCUUUAGAGCGGCCCGCGUCUGAUUAGCUAGUUGGUGAGGUAAAGGCUCACCAAGGCGACGAUCAGUAGCUGGUCUGAGAGGAUGAUCAGCCACAUUGGGACUGAGACACGGCCCAAACUCCUACGGGAGGCAGCAGUGGGGAAUCGUGCGCAAUGGGCGAAAGCCUGACGCAGCCAUGCCGCGUGAAUGAUGAAGGUCUUAGGAUUGUAAAGUUCUUUCACCGGUGACGAUAAUGACGGUACCCGGAGAAGAAGCCCCGGCUAACUUCGUG
rnacentral:rRNA from 1 species